AAUAUUGGACAAUGGGGGGAACCCUGAUCCAGCAAUGCCGCGUGCAGGAUGAAGGCCUUCGGGUUGUAAACUGCUUUUGUACGGAACGAAAAGCUUUGGGUUAAUACCCUGGAGUCAUGACGGUACCGUAAGAAUAAGCACCGGCGACCUACGUGCCCGCCGCCGCGGUAAUACGUAGGGUGCAAGCGUUAAUCGGAAUCACUGGGCGUAAAGCGUGCGCAGGCGGUGGUGUAAGACAGAGGGGAAAUCCCCGGGCUCAACCUGGGAACUGCCUGUGUGACUACAAGGCUAGAGUACGGCAGAGGGGGGUGGAAUUCCGCGUGUAGCAGUGAAAUGCGUAGAUAUGCGGAGGAACACCGAUGGCGAAGGCAACCCCCUGGGCCUGUACUGACGCUCAUGCACGAAAGCGUGGGGAGCAAACAG
rnacentral:rRNA from 1 species